rnacentral:rRNA from 1 species
AGUAACACGUAGGCAACCUGCCCACAAGACAGGGAUAACUACCGGAAACGGUAGCUAAUACCCGAUACAUCCUUUUCCUGCAUGGGAGAAGGAGGAAAGACGGAGCAAUCUGUCACUUGUGGAUGGGCCUGCGGCGCAUUAGCUAGUUGGUGGGGUAAAGGCCUACCAAGGCGACGAUGCGUAGCCGACCUGAGAGGGUGAUCGGCCACACUGGGACUGAGACACGGCCCAGACUCCUACGGGAGGCAGCAGUAGGGAAUCUUCCGCAAUGGGCGAAAGCCUGACGGAGCAACGCCGCGUGAGUGAUGAAGGUUUUCGGAUCGUAAAGCUCUGUUGCCAGGGAAGAACGUCUUGUAGAGUAACUGCUACAAGAGUGACGGUACCUGAGAAGAAAGCCCCGGCU